GCUAGGGUGUGCAAGUGAUCACAAGCUAAAUAAUAAUGCUAAAUAAUAAUCUUAUAAUAAUAAAUUAUCUACUCUCUAGGAAUAGAGUGGUUUCGGAGGUUUCUUGCAUGUUGCCAUCUGUCUGUCCAAACUCCAGAGGCAACAUCCCUGGGAAGGGCUACAGCCUUCAAUAAAACUACAGUAGGGGAGUUCUUCGACAAUCUGGCUGUAGUGAUGGACAGGCACACAUUCCCUCCACACGAUUUACAAUGUAGAUUAAACCGGCAUCUUUACAGUUCAAAAGCCACGACAGGUUGUGACAGAGAAAGGAAAAAAGCAAGUUGGUUCUAUCACAUCAUCUGAGAGGGGAGAACUAGUGACUGUGGUGUGUGCAGUGAAUGCUGCUGGGAAUGCCAUACCUCCUAUGUUUGUCUUCCCCAGAGUUAGGUUUAUGGAUGACUUCCUGAUAGGAGCACCUCCAGGAGCCAAAGGUGCCUCCACCAGAACAGGAUGGAUGAAUGAAGACAAGUUCCGAUUAUGGGUCCAUGUUCUGAGACCCAGACUGUGCAUUAGCUGGUUCUGCUUGUACUUUGCUCUUGACACCCAGAUACUAGCUAAAGGUCCUGUGCUAUGAUUCUCACACUGUGAAUGUUAAUUAAAACAUUUUGAAGUAUA